AGUGAACGCUGGCGGUAGGCCUAACACAUGCAAGUCGAACGGCAGCACAGUAAGAGCUUGCUCUUACGGGUGGCGAGUGGCGGACGGGUGAGGAAUACAUCGGAAUCUCCUUUUUCGUGGGGGCUAACGUAGGGAAACUUACGCUAAUACCGCAUACGACCUACGGGUGAAAGCAGGGGAUCUUCGGACCUUGCGCGAUUGAAUGAGCCGAUGUCGGAUUAGCUAGUUGGCGGGGUAAAGGCCCACCAAGGCGACGAUCCGUAGCUGGUCUGCGAGGAUGAUCAGGCACACUGGAACUGAGACACGGUCCAGACUCCUACGGGAGGCAGCAGUGGGGAAUAUUGGACAAUGGGCGCAAGCCUGAUCCAGCCAUACCGCGUGGGUGAAGAAGGCCUUCGGGUUGUAAAGCCCUUUUGUUGGGAAAGAAAAGCAGCAGGUUAAUACCCCGCUGUUCUGACGGUACCCAAAGAAUAAGCACCGGCUAACUUCGUG
rnacentral:rRNA from 1 species